rnacentral:rRNA from 1 species
GAUGAACGCUGGCGGCGUGCUUAACACAUGCAAGUCGAGCGAGAAAAGUUCUUCGGAGCUUUUCUAGCGGCGGACGGGUGAGUAACGCGUGGGCAACCUGCCUCAUAGAGGGGAAUAGCCUUCCGAAAGGAAGAUUAAUACCGCAUAACAUUGUUGAAAGGCAUCUUUUAACAAUCAAAGGAAUAAUCCGCUAUGAGAUGGGCCCGCGGCGCAUUAGCUAGUUGGUGAGGUAACGGCUCACCAAGGCGACGAUGCGUAGCCGACCUGAGAGGGUGAUCGGCCACAGUGGAACUGAGACACGGUCCAGACUCCUACGGGAGGCAGCAGUGGGGAAUAUUGCACAAUGGGGGAAACCUUGAUGCAGCAACGCCGCGUGGGUGAUGAAGGUCUUCGGAUUGUAAGGCUCUGUCUUUAGGGACGAUAAUGACGGUACCUAAGGAGGAAGCCACGGCUAACUACGUGCCAGCCGCCGCGGUAAAAC